UACCAGCACCCCCGAGUGGUCGGGACGUUUUAUUGGGCCUAAAGCAUCCGUAGCCGGUUCUACAAGUCUUCCGUUAAAUCCAGCUGCUUAACAGAUGGGCUGCGGAAGAUACUAUGGAGCUAGGAGGCGGGAGAGGCAAGCGGUACUCGAUGGGUAGGGGUAAAAAUCCGUUGAUCCAUUGAAGACCACCAGUGGCGAAGGCGGCUUGCCAGAACGCGCUCGACGGUGAGGGAUGAAAGCUGGGGGAGCAAACCGG
rnacentral:rRNA from 1 species